rnacentral:rRNA from 1 species
UACGGAGGGAGCUAGCGUUGUUCGGAAUUACUGGGCGUAAAGCGCACGUAGGCGGCUUUGUAAGUUAGAGGUGAAAGCCCGGGGCUCAACUCCGGAACUGCCUUUAAGACUGCAUCGCUUGAAUCCAGGAGAGGUGAGUGGAAUUCCGAGUGUAGAGGUGAAAUUCGUAGAUAUUCGGAAGAACACCAGUGGCGAAGGCGGCUCACUGGACUGGUAUUGACGCUGAGGUGGCGAAAGCGUGGGAGCAACAGG